rnacentral:rRNA from 1 species
CGGGACGGGGUGGAGUAAUGUCUGGGAAACUGCCCGAUGGAGGGGGGUAACUACUGGAAACGGUAGCUAAUACCGCAUAACGUCGCAAGACCAAGAGGGGGACCUUAGGGCCUCUUGCCAUCGGAUGUGCCCAGAUGGGAUUAGCUAGUAGGUGGGGUAAUGGCUCACCUAGGCGACGAUCCCUAGCUGGUCUGAGAGGAUGACCAGCCACACUGGAACUGAGACACGGUCCAG